ensembl:lncRNA
GUGUGUGUGUGUGUGUGUGUGUGUGUGUGGUGUUGUGUGGUGUUGUGUGGUGUUGUGUGGUACCUCCUGAAACAGGGCAUCUGCUUCCCUGUCAGUAGCAUUUCAUCGGUUGCAUGAACACAGAGGCCGCUUUGUGUGUGUGUGUGUGUGUGUGUGUGUGUGUGUGUGUGUGUGUGUGUGUGUGUGUGUGUGUGUGUGUGUGUGUGUGUGUGUGUGUAUGUGUGUGUGUGUGUGUGUGUGUUGGGCUGGCUUAUUUUUUCCCUGCACUGCAGCUGAUUUAGGUGUGCCUAUCGACCCAGGGUGUUCCUCCGCUAAGGGCAUUCAUUAGCCCUCCUGACUGUGCAAGGGCUGCCUCUUGAUGGGGCAUAUGACAUUGUUGAUGCCAGGGCCUGGGACUGCCUGGAUGGGUAUCGAUUUGGGCACCGUUAUAAAUACCCAGAGGGCCGGGGAGCCGCUCUCUCGCACCGGGGUGAGAGACGGGCAGAAGGCAGCGGCAGCAGGCCCAACCUUGAGCUGUAACAUCCUUCAGACGCUCCCCGGCCGUUUCUCUUGCUCCCUCUCGCUGUCAAUCAUAACUUCUUACUUUGCAAAUGGCCAGAAUUGAGCCUACACGCUGAUGCUGAGAGGUGAAAAAAAGUUUCCACGACAGAUAAAAAGUAGCAGUAAGUGGAAGGGUGUCUUAUGUACAGGGAUGACAGACAGCACUCUCCCCCAGGUUGAGUCAACCACUGCUUUAGAUGAUUCCAAGGCAUCUCUCUUGCCGUUGUCAAUCACAAACAGGCACUUCACAAACCAGGGCAGUGAUCCCUAGAUAGUGUGUGUGGUAAAAAAAAAGUGUCUACCCCAACAGAAAAGAGGAAUGAAACAAAAAGAGGAGAUAAAAUAAAAGAGUGAGUGCGAAAGAACUUAAAGAGGGGCCCUAAAAGGGGUGUGUGGGGGUGUGUGUGUGGGGGGUCUGUAGGUAGUGUUUGAUGGAGUGAGCAGAGAGGGAGAAGAGAGGAGAAGAGAAGAGAGGAGAGGUGGUCAGACGCAGUGAACUUCAUGCUAUGGAUCAGUCAGUUCACAUGGACUCCCACUGCCACUGCCCUCCUCCCCCGGCAAAGUCAUUUAAAAGUGCUGAGGGCGGAUUUUCUCCUGGCGCUGCCUGCAGAUUUGAUUUGAUUUGAUUUCCUCGGGCUCGGGCUCUGAGGCUGCUCACCGGAGAGGCUCACGUUUGUCACGUCUCAAGCCCGCGCAAGAAAAAGAAAGACGAGGAAAAAAAGGAAAAAAGACAAGAAGUGUGUCCAGUGGUCGCGACAGAGUCCCCCCCUUUCCUCCCCCCUCCCAAAAUGAUCCAUCAACUUUCCCGUCCCAUACAGAUCUCUGUACAGGCUGUAUAACCCCCC